rnacentral:rRNA from 1 species
UACGGGGGGUGCAAGCGUUGUCCGGAUUUACUGGGCGUAAAGGGCGCGUAGGCGGCUUGAUCAGUCGGACUUUUAAGAGCGGGGCUCAACCCCGUGGUGGGUUCGGGACGGUCGAGCUGGGGCGCGGUCGAGGGGGAUGGAAUGCCGGGUGUAGUGGUGAAAUGCGUAGAGAUCCGGAGGAACCCCAGAGGCGAAGGCGGCGCCCUGGCUCGCAACUGACGCUCAGACACGACAGCAUGGGGAGCGAACGGG